GUCCUCGUAGCUCAGCAGGAUAGAGCGACGCUCUCCUAAAGCGUAGGCCGCGCGUUCGAAUCGCGCCGGGGACACCA
rnacentral:tRNA from 1 species